UGGGGAAUAUUGGACAAUGGGGGCAACCCUGAUCCAGCAAUGCCGCGUGUGUGAAGAAGGUCUUCGGAUUGUAAAGCACUUUCGACGGGGACGAUGAUGACGGUACCCGUAGAAGAAGCCCCGGCUAACUUCGUGCCAGCAGCCGCGGUAAUACGAAGGGGGCUAGCGUUGCUCGGAAUGACUGGGCGUAAAGGGCGUGUAGGCGGUUUACACAGUCAGAUGUGAAAUCCCCGGGCUUAACCUGGGAGCUGCAUUUGAUACGUGUAGACUAGAGUGUGAGAGAGGGUUUGUGGAAUUCCCAGUGUAGAGGUGAAAUUCGUAGAUAUUGGGAAGAACACCGGUGGCGAAGGCGGCAACCUGGCUCAUGACUGACGCUGAGGCGCGAAAGCGUGGGGAGCAAACAGGAUUAGAUACCCUGGUAGUCCACGCUGUAAACGAUGUGUGCUAGAUGUUGGGUAACUUUGUUAUUC
rnacentral:rRNA from 1 species